rnacentral:sRNA from 1 species
UGAUGUAAAGUGUCAAUAAGUCUUAAUUGCGAUUGUGCCUGCACAAAUGAGCAAUUCAGACUUAUUGACACGCCGAACACCGAAAACGGAAUAAAAUGCUUUGAAUAUGGCAUUUUAUGGGAGUUUGAGGUGGGCGGUAAUUGCGCAGCAAUGCAGCAAUUCAUAUACAUCA